rnacentral:piRNA from 1 species
UACACUGCUGGGUGGUCACAACUGCUCAC